rnacentral:rRNA from 1 species
UAAUGGCCUACCAAGGCGUCGACGGGUAGCCGGCCUGAGAGGGCGACCGGCCACACUGGGACUGAGACACGGCCCAGACUCCUACGGGAGGCAGCAGUGGGGAAUAUUGCGCAAUGGACGAAAGUCUGACGCAGCAACGCCGCGUGAGGGAUGACGGCCUUCGGGUUGUAAACCUCUUUCAGCAGGGACGAAGCGAGAGUGACGGUACCUGCAGAAGAAGGACCGGCCAACUACGUGCCAGCAGCCGCGGUAAUACGUAGGGUCCGAGUGUUGUCCGGAAUUAUUGGGCGUAAAGGGCUCGUAGGCGGUUCGUCACGUCGGGAGUGAAAACUCGGCGCUCAACUCCGAGCCUGCUUCCGAUACGGGCAGACUAGAGGUAGGCAGGGGAGAGCGGAACUCCUGGUGUAGCGGUGGAAUGCGCAGAUAUCAGGAAGAACACCGGUGGCGAAGGCGGCUCUCUGGGCCUUACCUGACGCUGAGGAGCGAAAGCGUGGGUAGCGAACAGGAUUAGAUACCCUGGUAGUCCACGCCGUAAACGUUGGGCGCUAGGUGUGGGGGACAUUCCACGUCCUCCGUGCCGCAGCUAACGCAUUACGCG